rnacentral:rRNA from 1 species
UAGGGAAUCUUCCGCAAUGGACGCAAGUCUGACGGAGCAACGCCGCGUGAGUGAAGAAGGAUUUCGGUUCGUAAAACUCUGUUGUUAGAGAAGAACAGCGCAUAGAGUAACUGUUAUGCGUGUGACGGUAUCUAACCAGAAAGCCACGGCUAACUACGUGCCAGCAGCCGCGGUAAUACGUAGGUGGCAAGCGUUGUCCGGAUUUAUUGGGCGUAAAGCGAGCGCAGGCGGUCAAUUAAGUCUGAUGUGAAAGCCCCCGGCUCAACCGGGGAGGGUCAUUGGAAACUGGUUGACUUGAGUGCAGAAGAGGAGGGUGGAAUUCCAUGUGUAGCGGUGAAAUGCGUAGAUAUAGGGAGGAACACCAGUGGCGAAGGCGACUCUCUGGUCUGUAACUGACGCUGAGGCUCGAAAGCGUGGGUAGCAAACAGG